rnacentral:lncRNA from 1 species
AACACACUACUCAACCGACCGUCCCUAGAGCAAGUGGCAAAGGGCUUGGUGGUUGGUACCCGAGACCCAAGUUCGAAUCCUAGUUGAUUCACAUUUUCAGCUAAGUUUAUUUCUAAAUGAAAUCCCGACCAGCGGUAGCGCUGCUACCUAUCUUCUCUUUCAAAAAAAAAAAAAAAAAAAAAAAAAAAAAAAAAAUCCACCUCUCAACACACUACUCAACUUUCAGCACAGGUACAUAUAUUUUUCGCCUGCCCUUCUGAAUGUCCGUUUGAGCUCAAAUUUGACAGUCAGGCUUGGUUUUACUUAACUUAACGAAAGAAACUUUAAUCUUUCAGUUUCGACCACAUUUGGUCACCGAAAGCUCUGCCGAACUGUAAUCUCUAGCACAUAGCAGUCGGAUUUUAUUUUUCACCUUCCGGGUAUCAGAAUGACAUGAAACUUUAAAUCUAGCUUCAUAAAAAUAAUUUUGACAUAUUCUCCAGUUUUCAUAAUUUUCUGACACUGCAUUUUCUGCUAAAAUAUCAGCUCCGUUUCUCACGGAAAAUUCUAAAUCUUCUGUUUUCGUUCCGAUUUUAGCACGAGUCGUUUCCGACUUAUAUUUUACUUCUCUAAAUCCAAUAAAAAUAGUAUCUCGUACUAUUAGAGAUACUAUUUUUAUUUAUUUUUACUUUUUUAUCAAAAUCCGGUAUGUUACAACCAUGAGCCAUCUGUAUCAACAAAGAACACCAUCAAGUAAUAAGGGUCAGCGACAUA